CCAAAUCUGCUUGACACUAUAGAGCUGACACCCGGUUGGUCCUCAAGUCAGCUGAAGAUUAGGAUUAAAGCCGGUACAACACUAUUCCAGAACGUAACUGCUGGUCGUCUUGUUAGAGUUGCAAUACAGUGCCGAAAUGACGCUCCUAACGUUCAGUUGACAAGCUCAUGUGUUGUGUUCCAGGUCCAUGGGGCAAUUGAAUGUCCGUACCCUUGGCCGACUCUAUCACCAGCAUUAAACGCAGCAACCUUGCCAACACCUGUAUCAAUAAGAUCUGACGCAACAGGAACUCUUCCGCCAGUGACCACGCCAGCGAAAGAACCAAGGACAACCGUGGAACGUAUUGUAAGUCAGAAGAGCACAUUUAUUAUUGUCGGAUCGGUGGCUGGAGGCCUUCUGUUUAUUGCCUUGAUACUGCUCAUCUUAUGGCGUUGCAAAAUUUCGAAGUAUACUCUGUUCCCAUAAAUAUGACGAACCACUUCAAGACGUCAGCUGCUGUGGACUACGGAUUACGCCUGAAGAAUAGAAUCCAAGAAAAUUUACGUUUACCAGAUUGGCAAGAUUUGUACUGAUGAUAUGCUGGUGUCAGUAAUCCAUUUUGACUUCCGUAAAACUUUAGAGAGACGCAGCUUUGAGAAACGUCUGAUAUUCAAACAUCAGGCCCUACAUCCGAGGGAGACUCAAUAUUGACUUGCAUUCGGAUCACUGAUGAAGAGGCAGGAACCUCUAUGCCUAUGGUUGUUUGAAAUUUUCCCGCGCAUAUUACAAGAACAUUGAGUAUCUUUUGUAGAUUGUAUACGCUCCCUGUGGUAGGACUUAAAUGUAAUUUUCUCAGGGUAGAUGGAAUGGGCAAGCACGGGACGCGCGGGAAAACUAUCUCGCAAGAGGAGAGCACGAAGCUCCUGCGCGUCGCGUCUCCUCGUGGGAGGUGAUUUUCGCAAGCCUACCCAGACCAACAACCAGCACCUGUCAUAUUUGUGAAGCUUAUUUGGCAAUCAGAUCAGCUGUCCGUUUGGAAGAGAAAAAGAUGUAUUUGGUACGAGAUUACCCGGCGAGAACAAGUUAAACUGCCAAACUGUUAAAUCAAUUAAAUAGCAUACUGAGCUUAAUUUUUGAACCAAAUUAUAAAAUAAAACUGACAAAUAUCAACAACUUCAGUGAUUUUCAAACAAAAAUGUUUUUACAUUAAAAUUUGCAGGCAUUUGGGAAACUCUUCGACAUCCCUGAAGUUGAAAAGAAUAAAAUCAGACGAUUCCAUUGACGAGGACUCAGUGGCUGAAGAGAAAACAAUCUCUGAAAGCUCUUCUCCGUCACCAGAUGGUGUCGAGGAAAGAGGUUGAUAUUAGCAACGCUUUUAUUUAUAUCAGGAGUUCAUAUCCAUAUUGUACUAUGCCAUAAAAAAUAGAGUCCAUAAGAAUACAGGAAAGCCGUUGUGUUUGACUCGUGGGAUAUUCCAUGGCAUAUCAAUCGAAAGUAUUGCAUAACUAGAACAUCGAUAUUGGUAAUUUAAAUUGCUUACAACUGAAAACCAAACUUUUCUCUUUGACCAAUCACUAAGGACAUAGACAAUCCGACACUCAAGUCCUAAUCAGAGUGCAGUGUCUUUUUACCAAGUCAUAAUGUGACCAUUCAGCCCUCAUUCAAAUUCAAAGAAAGUCUUUUUAGCAGCAGAUUCGAUUCACGGAGUGAUGUCUGUUUUUAAUUUAUAAAAUGUAAGUUAGGACUUCAUAGUUUUAAACCUUACUUUUCAUAGGGCUCCUUUUGAUAACAGUCAUCUUUGAAUCUGACCGGGUUACCCUUGCUUAAUUAAAUGAAGGGGUCUGCAUGGAACCCAGGAACCCAGAGCUUAAUUUUGGUCUGGGCGAUUUCAGCGAUAUAUAACCUUUUUUCUCAAUAAGAUACAUGUAAAGAUCGAUUUCUCCACGUUAAUAUUCUAAAAGGCAAACAGCAAUCUGCUUUGUGCAUGUUCUGUAUUGUUCUUAUAAGAUCUAUGCAUUAUCAAGGCGAUAUUUUAGAACAAUAAGGCUUAAAAUAGGACCAUGUUAUUUUACUUGUCUCACUUAAUUCAGUCCUUGUCUCUCCAGCAAAUGAGGUAGAGGGCUUCUACUACAGCUUUCAACCAGACCGAGCUUUGUUUUUGCAUUCGGCCUAGUAGGAUGUUAAUAAGAAAAACUUAACGUUUACAGUCUCACAAACUUAAUUACUUCCAUUACCCCAGCCUUAAAAGCCAUAUUUUAUUUCGCUUGGACCCUCUCAAACUGACUGCCAGCCCAACCCUCCAAUAUUUAGUAAAACAAUGAACAGACUCUAGCUCCGUGAAAACACAUAGUCACAUACUUACGGAUAGGGAGGGAGGAAGCAAGUUAACCCAAGCAUUUGAAUUAUAUUCUAGAAAUAGUGUGAUCUCUAUAGGUAAAUCAAAUGAUUUUGAGUACAAUUUGGAAUAAGUGAGCACGUUAUUUUUUCAUAGACAAAUCUUGAAUUUGAGCCCGUAGGGCGAGUGGAAUUUGUAGUCUUUGAGAAUUUAAAGUGCUUAUUUAUUCCAAAUUGCACGAGAAAAAGCAUUCGAUUACUUGUUGACAAUAUGAUGAUAAUUCAAUUACAACUAUCUACGCUGUCUGGGAUUGAUUGGCGUGCUCUCAGCCAAUCAGCAUGCUGAUAUUUUUGCAUGUAUAUUAUAUUCACUUGCUUGUUUUCUCUUUAUCGGCACCCUUUUGGAACUAUAGUUGUUCGCUUUUGGUUGUUUCAUCCACCUAAAUAACAUGUCACAACAAGCUUCUCAUGAUACAAACCGCAAAGUCAAUACGAUACAAUGAGAAUAUUAUGUUGUGAUCAACUGUUCACAGGCUAAUACUGACUGACUGACUGACUGACUGAC